rnacentral:rRNA from 1 species
GAGCUGGCGGGUGCUAACACGAUGCCAAGUCGAUGCGCGAAGAACUUCGGGGUGAGUAGAGCGGCGCACGGGUGGAGUAACACGUGGGUAAUCUGCCCGUCAGGCCUGGAAUAAGCCAAGGGAAACUGUUGGCUAAUACCGGAUAACGCCACCAUACGAGAGUGUGGUGGAAAAAGCAGGGGACUUCGUUCGGAAGCCUUGCACCAGAGGAUGAGCCCGCGCCCCAUCAGCUAGUUGGCGAGGUAAUGGCUCACCAAGGCUAAGACGGGUAGCUGGUCUGAGAGGAUGACCAGCCACACUGGAACUGAGACACGGUCCAGACUCCUACGGGAGGCAGCAGUGGGGAAUAUUGCGCAAUGGACGAAAGUCUGACGCAGCAACGCCGCGUGAGUGAUGAAGGUCUUCGGAUCGUAAAGCUCUGUCGGCAGGAACGAUGUUUUUAGGAGCUAAUAUCUCCUGAAAUUGACGGUACCUGCAAAGGAAGCACCGGCUAACUCUGUGCCAGCAGGCCGCGGUAAUACAGAGGGUGCAAGCGUUGUUCGGAAUCAUUGGGCGUAAAGGGCGCGUAGGCGGU